GAAAAGAAAAGUUAGGAUAACAUGUUUUGCCAUUUUUUUUAUAAUGAAUAGCUUUCCUGGGGGUUUUCCCCUCGGGGUUGACCCCCUGGAAACCCCCUGGGAUUUGUGAAGUUUUCAGCAUCAAACAAAAACCUACUGAAUCACUCCAUGGGUUUUAGAGCACACUGGUCAAUUUCCCUCGCCAAGAGGCUAAACUGUUGACAGAACCCCUUCAUUUACAAUAAUAACAGACAAAUUUAUCAAUUUUUCUUACUCUCUUCUUCUUUGAAACUCAUACCACGUCCUAGGCUUUGUACAACGGUAGGAUGAACAACAAACAUGCAACAAACUUUGAAGACCUCUAUGAAAUGUCAUGUAAAUGGCCGCAAGGUUGCUCAUCUACAUGUUCAUCCAGGAUGUUGAAAGUGACAUACCACUGACCACUCUCAAACAAAUCCCAUAGGUGCAUCCCAGUGGUCUGGCACAUUUGUUUCAAAAACCAAACAAUGUCUUCAUCCUAUGGGACAAUUUUUGUUUAAAAAAUGCACCAUUCCUUGCAUAUUCCUAGGGUUUCUCUUCUUACUUAGUGGUCUUCAAAGUUUGUAGAUCUCUAGUAGGAAGAUUCAUUGUUAUUGAGACUUUUCUUACUUAUAAAAAUUAUUUUAUUCCAGGAAAGAAGGGUAAAAACCCAAAAGGACUUCCAUCACCUUGGACCACUCGUUCUGGAAGUAGUGGUGAUGGGACACUCAUUAUUGGGGGCGAGGUUUUUAAUUGCUAUGUAGAGGAUUUAAAAGAGUUAAAUGUUCUUGGGCAUGGAGGAUCUGGUUGGGUGUACCGGAUGAUACAUAAGCCCACGGGCCACAUUAUGGCAGUCAAGAGAAUGAGGGCUAUUCACUCAAGAAAGCUGGUUUCAAAGGAAUUGGAUGUCUUAAUGAGGACGAUAUACUCUAACUUUCCAUAUCUUGUGCCUUUUUAUGGUUCAUUGUUUAGAGAGGUAUGUUCACUUGAGAUAUAAGAAAUUGCUGACUUUACAGUUAUGAACCCUAUGUACGAUUCUAACAUAACAGUUUCCCUCCAAAUGUACUUUUGGGUGUCCCUCAGGAUCCCCUUACAGUGUGCUGUAUAAUUUUUGAAAUUUAUUUUUGAAAGGGAAACUAGUGGUAAUAUGAAGGAAUUUGGAAAUUUUAGUUUGGAAGAUCAAGAGAAUUUAUGAUUGAAGAUGGAUAAAUGACGAAAUGAUUUAAAACUUCUUGUUCUACAAAGUCUGAACAGAUUCCAAUCUGACUUGGAGUGUGCAAAAGUAGGACAACACUGAACUUCUCUAUGGAGGUUAUUGGGUACAUGUAUCUGCUCUGUAUGCCUUACCACAUUUUUCUUCCAGACAUUGGAUUCUGUAUCAAGGAAAUUUCUUGGUCACAUGGAAAUUCUUUUCAAGAGGGAAUAAUUUUCAGAACAUAAGGUCAUUUCAAAUCUGGCUUUAACAUACAAUCUGCCAAAAAUGUGUGGUCACAAGACCAUCUUGUAUUAAAAUGCUUUGAGUUGCUUGAUCAUGACAUGGCCACCAGUCACAUUAGAUCAAUCUCAGGCAGUGUUAUCAAGUUUAUAAAGAUGAAGCUGGUUUGGAAGUUUAAAUUAUAGACAUGGUUAAAUUGUGGUCUGUAUAUUAUGGUUACUGCUGUCUGUUUGCAGAACGUGCAGUUCCAAAAAAUAUCCAUCUAUACCCACCCCAAGGGAG